GUGAGGAAUUUUCCGCAAUGGGCGAAAGCCUGACGGAGCAAUGCCGCGUGAAGGAUGAAGGCCUAUGGGUUGUAAACUUCUUUCCUCAGAAAAGAAUUAUGACGGUAUCUGAGGAAUAAGCAUCGGCUAACUCUGUGCCAGCAGCCGCGGUAAGACAGAGGAUGCAAGCGUUAUCCGGAAUGAUUGGGCGUAAAGCGUCUGUAGGUUGUUUAAAAAGUAUUCUGUCAAAGAUUAGGGCUUAACCCUAGAUAGGCAGAAUAAACUUUUAAGCUAGAGUUUGGUAGAGGCAGAGGGAAUUCCCGGUGGAGCGGUGAAAUGCGUAGAUAUCGGGAGGAACACCAAAGGCGAAGGCACUCUGCUGGGCCAAUACUAACACUGAGAGACGAAAGCGAGGGGAGCAAAUGGGAUUAGAAACCCUGGUAGUCC
rnacentral:rRNA from 1 species